UCUCUCCCCGGAGCGCAGCCGGGAGACCCUCGGAGCGGAACCCCGGAGGCUUCCCCCUCCCCAGCGGCGGCGCCGCGUCCUGAUGGGCGGCCGGGCGCAUCUCUGCCCGCGCUGCCUUGGAGGCGGGGACGGCGCGGGUUUGCGCCCAGGCGGAGGAGCGGGCGGCGGCGGCGGCGGUGGAGUCUCAGCCUGCCGUUGACUGCGGGCGCUGCAGCCGGACGGGAGAGCCGCCUUCGCGGGGGGACGAGAGGCCGGAGCCAGAAGUACAGAGACUGACGCUGAAGCUCAAAUACUUUGGCCACCUAAUGAGGUGGCGAAGAGAGCCAAUGGCCUCCUAAUAAACAGAAGACCCCUUUGAAGCUGUAGUCUUGCAGUCACAACAAAAAAGUUUUGAAAAAAAUAUACAGUAUUGCAGCUAAUUUAUUCCACUGAAACAAUUUUGGAAUGCCUGACCACUGACAGUCAAAUAUAAUCAUCAUAAUAAUAAAAAAGAUCAGAUUCUCAAAUCCUUUGAAGGAGGAAUACAAAGGAUGCCAUCCAUCACAAGAAAUUCAGGUAAUAUAAGGAAAAAAUACUAUUAAAAAAAACCCUUUAUCACUUCAGCUGCCUUUGAUUGACAAGUUUAAGUGAUUGAAGACGGCACCCUAUGCAUGUUAGUGAGCAAGCUGUGUUAAAAGCAGUGGGAUUUAAGUCUGAAUAGGCUUUUGUAGGAUUAGCCUCAAAGCAAAUCCUUUUAAAUAAAUAUGCUGUUGCUAAAACUAAAAUAUUUUCUAUUACAUUUGCAAUUCCUAUCAUUACGCUGGUGAAACACACCUCUUGUAUCUUUAGAAGUCUUCCCUGAGGAGGAAUAUUUAAUCAGGGUCUUAAAAUCAUAGAGUAUGUAAGGGAUCUUGGGUAUCUUUCUUGCCCAGUAGAGGAGUCCUCAUACCAUCUUGAACAAAUGAUGGUUUAGUCUUUUUUUUGAAAACUUCCAGUGAUGGUGUAUCCAUAACUUCAGGAGGUAGGCUGUUUCACAAGUUAAUUGUUCUCACGUUCAGAAAAUUCCUCCUCAGGUUUGGCUCUUUCACUCCGAAUAACUCAUGGGAUGAUUGGAUUUUUGCAGUUGAGAACUCUUACUUUAAAGAGCCCAAUGGUUCUUGUCCUACCUUCAUGUUCUCUGGAGAAUAAAUCCACAACCUCUUUCCGUAUAUAGAAGAACAGCUACUGUAUCUCCCUUUAGCUUUCUCCUCUUUAGGC